rnacentral:tRNA from 1 species
GGGCGCUUAGCUCAGCGGGAGAGCGCACCCAUUUACUUGGGUGAGGUCUCAGGUUCGAUCCCUGACGCGCCCACCA